CCCGCAACGAGCGCAACCCUGCCUUUAGUUGCCAGCAGUUCGGCUGGGCACUCUAAAGGGACUGCCGGUGUUAAACCGGAGGAAGGUGGGGAUGACGUCAAGUCCUCAUGGCCUUUAUGACCAGGGCUACACACGUACUACAAUGGCCGAUACAAAGGGCAGCGACACUGCGAGGUGAAGCCAAUCCCGUAAAAUCGGUCUCAGUCCGGAUUGGAGUCUGCAACUCGACUCCAUGAAGUUGGAAUCGCUAGUAAUCGUGGAUCAGCAUGCCACGGUGAAUACGUUCCCGGGCCUU
rnacentral:rRNA from 1 species